rnacentral:rRNA from 1 species
GGGUGAGUAACGCGUGGGUAACCUGCCUUGUACAGGGGGAUAACAGUUGGAAAUGGCUGCUAAUACCGCAUAAGCGCACGGCAUCGCAUGAUGCAGUGUGAAAAACUCCGGUGGUAUAAGAUGGACCCGCGUUGGAUUAGCUAGUUGGUGAGGUAACGGCCCACCAAGGCGACGAUCCAUAGCCGACCUGAGAGGGUGACCGGCCACAUUGGGACUGAGACACGGCCCAAACUCCUACGGGAGGCAGCAGUGGGGAAUAUUGCACAAUGGGCGAAAGCCUGAUGCAGCGACGCCGCGUGAGCGAAGAAGUAUUUCGGUAUGUAAAGCUCUAUCAGCAGGGAAGAUAAUGACGGUACCUGACUAAGAAGCACCGGCUAAAUACGUGCCAGCAGCCGCGGUAAUACGUAUGGUGCAAGCGUUAUCCGGAUUUACUGGGUGUAAAGGGAGCGCAGGCGGUGCGGCAAGUCUGAUGUGAAAGCCCGGGGCUCAACCCCGGUACUGCAUUGGAAACUGUCAUACUAGAGUGUCGGAGGGGUAAGCGGAAUUCCUAGUGUAGCGGUGAAAUGCGUAGAUAUUAGGAGGAACACCAGUGGCGAAGGCGGCUUACUGGACGAUAACUGACGCUGAGGCUCGAAAGCGUGGGGAGCAAACAGGAUUAGAUACCCUGGUAGUCCACGCCGUAAACGAUCAAUACGAGGUGUUGGGAAGCAUUGCUUCUCGGUGCCGUCG